UUCUCCCUUUCUACCCCUCUCACUCUCGCGUGCUCUCCCUCUUCCUCUCCCUCCCUCUCUCUGCCUCUGCCUCUCUCUCUCCCUCUCGCGCGCUCUCCUUCUCCCUCUCCCUCUCCCUCCCUCUCUCUGCCUCUCCCUCUCCCUCUCCCUCCCUCUCUCUGCCUCUCCCUCUCCCUCUCGCGCGAUCUCCCUCUCCCUCUCCCUCUCCCUCUCCGCUCGCUCUCCUCUCACUCUCACUCUCCCUAUCUAUCUCUCUCUCAAAACCCUAUUCCUCUCUCUCUAUCUCCUCGGCCCUCUGCUGCAGUUCGGUCUUCUGCUGCUCGUGAAUCUCUGAUUCUCAGGUAUGAUGUAGGUUUGUUGAAUUUGGAAAGUGAGGACUUCGCCAAGAAAGUAGUAGACGCUACGCAAACUAGUUUAUAGACCCUUGUUUACGCUUCAUUUUAAAGAUCAUUUCCCACAAAGGAACUCUCUUAUGUGUGCUCCACCCGUGCUAACAUGACAGAAGUGUGCAAGAUCUAGGCAGUUCAUCAAACAGGUCUAGUGGUGAGUGGGCCCAAAAGGAAGCAAAUUCCAUAUUAAGUGCACUAUAUAGUAGGAAUUAAAUGCCCACCUCCAAUCUUUGUCCUUAUUUACAGGUUGGAUGACAAAUAAAAAUUACAGUGGCCCUAGAAAGUUUUUAAUGGUGGACAUUCAAUGACCACUUUUUCUUAUGAUGUGGUCCGCUUGAAAUUUGGAUCUGCUCUUUUUUUUUUUUUUUUUUUUGCCAUGCCCUAAAAUGAACUGAAAAAACUGAUGGAUGGCAUGAACAUAAACAUUAAGGUGGGCCCACCAUAAGGAAAAAGCACAAACGUCUCAAGUGCAUCUAGUGUCACACGCUAUCCGAGUAUUAAAAAAAGAAAUCUUUUUACAACUUUCUCACAAACACCAAUGCGUGCAGAUUGUUUGGAGUGGAAAGAAGAGAGCAGGGAAAAGAGAGGACUUGAAAGCAGCACAACAAAAAAGAAGAGAACCAAACAACCACUAUAGCCAAAGAAAAAGAAAAGCAACAGACAGCAUGGUGCAACGGAAGAAGAAGAAAAAAAAGAGGAUUAUUGGGAAUUUAAAUAUUUGGAAUGGGUGGUAUUGGAAAAGGU